rnacentral:sRNA from 1 species
GCCAGGUGUAGUGGUGUACACCUGUAGUCCCAGCUACUUGGGAGGUUGAGGCAGGAGGAUCACUUGAGUCAAGGAGUUUGAGGCCAAUCUGGGCAAUAUAAGCAAGACUUGGUUU